AAUAUAUACAACACAUCCUUACUCUGCUAUAUAGUCCAGGUAACACAUCCUUACUCUGCUAUAUAGUCCAGGUAAUACAUCCUUACUCUGCUAUAUAGUCCAGGUAAUAUAUACAACACAUCCUUACUCUGCUAUAUAGUCCAGGUAAUACAUCCUUACUCUGCUAUAUAGUCCAGGUAAUAUAUACAACACAUCCUUACUCUGCUAUAUAGUCCAGGUAAUAUAUACAACACAUCCUUACUCUGCUAUAUAGUCCAGGUAAUACAUCCUUACUCUGCUAUAUAGUCCAGGUAAUAUAUACAACACAUCCUUACUCUGCUAUAUAGUCCAGGUAAUAUAUACAACACAUCCUUACUCUGCUAUAUAGUCCAGGUAAUACAUCCUUACUCUUCUAUAUAGUCCAGGUAAUAUAUACAUCACAUCCUUACUCUGCUAUAUAGUCCAGGUAAUAUAUACAACACAUCCUUACUCUGCUAUAUAGUCCAGGUAAUAUAUACAACACAUCCUUACUCUGCUAUAUAGUCCAGGUAAUAUAUACAACACAUCCUUACUCUGCUAUAUAGUCCAGGUAAUACAUCCUUACUCUUCUAUAUAGUCCAGGUAAUAUAUACAUCACAUCCUUACUCUGCUAUAUAGUCCAGGUAAUAUAUACAACACAUCCUUACUCUGCUAUAUAGUCCAGGUAACACAUCCUUACUCUGCUAUAUAGUCCAGGUAAUAUAUACAACACAUCCUUACUCUGCUAUAUAGUCCAGGUAACACAUCCUUACUCUGCUAUAUAGUCCAGGUAACACAUCCUUACUCUGCUAUAUAGUCCAGGUAACACAUCCUUACUCUGCUAUAUAGUCCAGGUAAUAUAUACAACACAUCCUUACUCUGCUAUAUAGUCCAGGUAAUAUAUACAACACAUCCUUACUCUGCUAUAUAGUCCAGGUAACACAUCCUUACUCUGCUAUAUAGUCCAGGUAAUAUAUACAACACAUCCUUACUCUGCUAUAUAGUCCAGGUAAUACAUCCUUACUCUGCUAUAUAGUCCAGGUAACACAUCCUUACUCUGCUAUAUA